rnacentral:rRNA from 1 species
GUGCGUGAGAUGUUGGGUUAAGUCCCGCAACGAGCGCAACCCCUGUCCUUAGUUGCCCCCGGGUCAUGCCGUGGCACUCUAAGGAGACUGCCGGCGUUAAGCCGGAGGAAGGUGGGGAUGACGUCAAGUCCUCAUGGCCCUUAUGUCCAGGGCUACACACGUGCUACAAUGGGCGGUACAAAGGGAUGCAAGCUCGCGAGGGUGAGCCAAUCCCAAAAAGCCGCUCUCAGUUCGGAUUGCAGUCUGCAACUCGACUGCAUGAAGCUGGAAUCGCUAGUAAUCGCGGAUCAGCACGCCGCGGUGAAUACGUUCUCGGGCCU